CCUCGGGGGAAGAACGCCCUCGACCUAAUCUCAAACUUUAAAUAGGUAGGACGGUGUGACUGCUUUGUUGAGCCGCACCAUGGAAUUAAGAUCUCCAAUCAGGCUAUUUUUGGUAAGCAAAAAUAGCGAUGCAGGAUGAACCGAAAGCCGAGUUGCAGUCCAAACUGUAUGCUAAUCUAGAUCUUAUAAAGUGUGUAGGUCAAUUAAGAUAGCAGGAUAUUGCUAAUAGAAGUCUAAAUCUAUUAAGGAGUGUGUAACAACCUACUUGCCAAAUCAACUAGCCCCAAAAAUGGAUGGAGCUUAAGCGUACAACCUACACCCUUCCGAUGGGCCAAGUGCCAGGUCCCGAUGAGUAAAAGGGUGUGGCAGUCACUACAUAACCUUGGGUACGAGCCUGGGUAGAGCAACCAUCGUACAGAUCUUAGUGGAAGUUAGAAAUAUUCUAAUAAGAACUUUGAAGGCUGAAAAGGAGAAAGGUUCAUGUGAAUGGCACUUGCACAUGGGUUAGUAGAUCCUAUGGGUCGGGGAAACCCCAACAAAUAGUGAAUUUUGUGCAUACUAUAAAAGGGAAUCGAGUUAAAAUUCCUAAACCAGGACGUGGCGAUCGACGACAACAUUAGGAAUUUUGGAGAUAUUAGUGGGAGCCUCAGAAAGAGUUAGCUUUCCUAUUUAAUAGCCUACGUACCCUGGAAUCGGCUCAGCCUGAGGUAGGGUCCAGUGGCUGGAAGUGCACUGCAUGUCACGUAGUUUCUGGUGCACUCCCGAAGGCCCUUGAAAAUAUGGAGGACCGAAAGCAUCCAUACCCGAUCAUACUCAUUACUGCAUCAAGUCUCUAAAGUGAAUAUCCUCUGGUCGAUGGAAGAUUAUAGGAAUGGGAAGUCAGCAAAAUGGAUCCAUAACUUUGGGAAAAGGAUUAGAUUUAAGGGUUAGGCACGGGGUCCCAAUCCUAAACCCGUCGACUAUCGGUGUACUACUAGAGAUGCUUCCACGGAAAGAGUGGGUCACCGCGUGCCGGCUAGGGGACAAACUGAGAAUGGUUCAUUCAAGGGCCAUCUCCACAUGUCGAACAGCCAACUUAGAACUAGUACUGACAAGGUGAACCAGACUUUUUAAUUAAAAAAAAAUCAUUGCAAUGGUCCCAACGGAUGUUCACGCAUUAUGAUUUUUGCCCAGUUCUCUGAAUGUCAAAGUCAAGAAAUUCAACCUAGAGCAGGUAAUGGCGGGAAUAACUAUGACACUUUUAAGGUUUCCAAAUGCCUCGUCAACUAAUUAGUGAAGCGCAUGAAUGGAUUAGAAGAUUACCACAGUCCCUGUAAGCUAUCUAGCAAAACGACAUUGCUUGGUUGAACAGCCAGUGGUUCGAGGCUACCAUGUGCUGCAUUAUGACUGAACGCCUCUAAGUCAGAAUCUGAGCUUCAAGCGGCGCAUGCGUUCACUAUCUUCUUGUUGACCAGCAGUAGGGGCCUCGACCCCUCAGGGCACAUGUCGUUUGCUAAGCCAUUGCUGCAAAAGUGUCACGGUGGCCGCCUUGAUGUACAAUUUUUUUUACGUGGCGGGUAGAAUCCUUUGCAGACGACUUAAAUAUGUGAUGGGGUAUUUUAAGAGUAAAGUGGACUUGCUGCCAUGAUCCAUUAAUAUUCAUCCCUUUGUCGGUCCGAUUAGUCCCUCCCCCUCAAAUUUAAUAAUUUUUUGUCCAUUUUCAAAGGUGGUUUGUGCAUCCAUCCUUUACAAAUCUGACUAAGUGUUGUGUUUUAACUUCACCCUAGAGCAUACCAUAGCAUAGCCUCACCCGACUUCCCCACUUAUUUUUCAAUUGUCGUGUGUGUUCCAUUCAAAAGAGUUAAGUAUGAUAUCAAGUGGUGUUUCGUGCAAAACUACGACAUCAAAAUUAGAAGCUUUCCAUGUCGCACAGUACGGCUCAAGAGCACUGUGAUGCGUAGAGGCCAACAUAGUGAUUUGAGGCAUCUUGCAAUUAGAGGUUUUUGUGACCGUCAAGUGCAAUCCUAGAGACAUAUCCAAUGACUCAGGCUCCGACGUCCGGCGAAAUUGGUAGCACACAACUCCCGAUGUCAAAUACUAAAGGACCUAUAGUUCCCUACCAUGGUGUUGUCUUUGUCGAGUUAUUUGUCUAUGUAUCAGCACGUUCACCUAUAAGGCACCAUGCACCAACACCUUAAACCACCUUGGGAAGCAACGGCCAUAAGGCACCAUGACAUUGUUCAC
rnacentral:rRNA from 1 species